GCCUAGAUCCUGGUGUCAUGAUAACACAUCUAUCUGGCUUUCAAAUCACAUCAAAAUUAUUUCUAGAUUGGAUGUAUUUAAAAGUUAUUUGACCUUCCUGAGACCUUUAAGACAUUUUGGCAUCCAUGAAAUUAUGCCCUCCAAAGAGAAGCAGAAUCAUGGACACAUCUCUGGGUCAUGCCACUAGGAACCUGCUUCCAAAAUGAAACAGUUUCAUUAAGGAUAACUUUUUGAGUCUAAUCAAUCAAAUCAUUAGGAUCAGGCUUGAACCUUAUUAAAAGAAAUUCACCCAAAAUGUAGAAUUGCACAUGCAUUAUAUCAUUUGUAAAAUAUGAGGGUUGAACUUGAUGGCCUCUAUGGACCCUUCGAGAUUUUAACUUGUGAGCCCAUAAUCCUAGCAGUUGUACAAGAGAGAAUUUAAGUGUCUUCUCCAUGGACGAAGAACUAAUAGGAAUCUGAGGAUGGAUUUAAACUCAAGUCUUCAGUGCUCAAGUCACAAUACCACCUAAAGUACCUCUAAGACAAUGAUGCAGGACUCAUCUCUCGUAUUAUGGGUGAGUUUCAACAACAGCCACAACCACAAACUCAACAGAUUCUUGGUACUUUGAUGACUAAGGAAGAGGUUCAAAUUAAAUACAAAUAACAUGUAUGAAUAUAAAUGUUAAUUUUG